CUCGACUCAAGGCUCUUCCGUGAAUGGAAAAGACUUAAAGACUGACUUCUGAUACUCGGUAUACCCAAAAGGAAAGGCACUGAAGCAAUGGUUCACAGCUAUUUAGAAACACCUUCAACUAAGGUUACAGCUGCGUCUGCGUCUGGGCCAUCCAGCCAGCCAGCCAGCAGUCGGGUAUGUCUCUUUUGGCUGGUGGAUCAGAUGUUCCACUGCCUCUCACUGCCAAAGACACAGACGUCAGGUUCUGUGCUGAGAGUGUGAGAACCGUUAAAGUACGCAUGGCCAAGUGACUCGGCAGUUGGCUGGUCGCGGCCCAGCUGAGCUUUUGACUCUCUCACAAGCGCAAGAGUGGAUUUUUGGUGUGUUUCCCUUCCUACAUGUUUUAAAAUGAUGCGACAGAUAUUUCAGAGUUCAACUACCUUGAGUUCUGGUUGUGUUAAAGCGAUAGACAUGUCGCAAAGGGUAGUACAGGCUAACCAGGAGACGUCUCAGUGGUAAUUUCAAAGUAAAUACUGAUUCCGUGAGAAAUAAACCAAGGCAAAAUAUGCGGAAGAGUAGCCUGGAAGCGUAACUGGACCUGUAAGGCAACCUGUUGGAUGUGGAUGUGGUUGUGGUUGUGGCUGUGCUUG
rnacentral:sRNA from 1 species